GGUCCUGAGUUUGAUUCCAGGUACCAAAAAAAAAGAAUCAAUAUAGCCUGAAGACAGAAGAGAAGCACAUCUCCCUCCCUAGCAUGAUUCUGCUUUCUUGUGCGGCCUAUAUCCUGGGCUGACAGA
ensembl:snoRNA